GACGAACGCUGGCGGCGUGCUUAACACAUGCAAGUCGAACGAUGAAGCCGGAGCUUGCUCUGGUGAAUUAGUGGCGAACGGGUGAGUAACACGUGAGUAACCUGCCCUUGACUCUGGGAUAACUGCGGGAAACUGUAGCUAAUACCGGAUACGACCCUCGGAGGCAUCUCCUGGGGGUGGAAAGAAUUUCGGUCAAGGAUGGACUCGCGGCCUAUCAGCUAGUUGGUGAGGUAAAGGCUCACCAAGGCGACGGCGGGUAGCCGGCCUGGGAGGGGGGCCGGCCACACUGGGGCUGAGACACGGCCCGGACUACUACGGGAGGAAGCAGUGGGGAAUUUGGCACAAUGGGCGCAAGCCUGAUGCAGCAACGCCGCGUGAGGGAUGACGGCCUUCGGGUUGUAAACCUCUUUUAGCAGGGAAGAAGCGAAAGUGACGGUACCUGCAGAAAAAGCACCGGCUAACUACGUGCCAGCCGCCGCCGUAA
rnacentral:rRNA from 1 species